rnacentral:rRNA from 1 species
UACAGAGGUCUCAAGCGUUGUUCGGAAUCACUGGGCGUAAAGGGUGCGUAGGCGGCGCAGCAAGUCAGAUGUGAAAUCCGGAGGCUCAACCUCCGAACUGCAUCCGAAACUGCUGUGCUCGAGAUCUGUAGAGGGACUUGGAAUUCUCGGUGUAGCAGUGAAAUGCGUAGAUAUCGAGAAGAACGCUCGUGGCGAAGGCGAAGUCCUGGGCAGAUUCUGACGCUGAGGCACGAAGGCCAGGGGAGCAAACAGG